GUUUCCUUUUUCUUAACAGGAGGAAUAUAAAAACACUUAACUCUUGGCUCUUCGUCUGGGCUAAUAAUAAUAAUUGGAACAGUAGAUCCAACUGAGAGAAGUUCGUCUCACACUAAUGAGAGAGACAAAAACCACACUCCAGAACACACAAAUAAGACAGAGGCUCCCACUCCUUCCCCCCAAAAAUCAACCUAAGAAGUUCUGCACCUGAACUGGGUAAUUGCGAGACUAAAGUCUAACUACCACAUGGUCUAGUCAUUCAAUCAUGGCUCUUCAGACAGUAGAUAAGCACUUGACCUAAGUUGGGGCAACCAUUUUCCGUUCUGUUUUGCCUUGGAACAUGAAGAUACGGCAUCAUCUCAUUUCCCUUGAUGAGACUGUUGGAUAAUAUAGAUGCAAGGAGCGGCAGAGGUGAUUACUCCUUGUGCAGAACGUCGCGGUCAUUUCCUUCUGUCCUCUUCUGGCUGUGAUGAGAAGCAUCCACUAAGACUCACCACCAUACUGGUCUGCUGAAUCAACUAGCUGAUGUAUCUAGAGCUCUAUUUUCUUUUUCUGAAAUAAAACACUCUGCUAAAGAAGGAGAUUUACUUUCGAGUUAAGCC
rnacentral:lncRNA from 1 species